rnacentral:rRNA from 1 species
AAUCAACGCUGGCGGCGUGCCUCAGACAUGCAAGUCGAACGAUUAAAGCUCCCUUCGGGGAGUGCAUAAAGUGGCGCACGGGUGAGUAACACGUAAGUAAUCUACCCUCGAGUGGGGAAUAACGUCCGGAAACGGACGCUAAUACCGCAUAAUCCAGCGGCACCGCAAGGUGACAGUUGUUAAAGAUUUAUCGCUUGAGGAGGAGCUUGCGGCAGAUUAGCUAGUUGGUAAGGUAAUGGAUUACCAAGGCCGCGAUCUGUAACCGGUCUAAGAGGACGGUCGGUCACACUGACACUGAAUAACGGGUCAGACUCCUACGGGAGGCAGCAGUCGGGAAUUUUGGGCAAUGGGCGAAAGCCUGACCCAGCAACGCCGCGUGAAGGAUGAAGUAUUUCGGUAUGUAAACUUCGAAAGAAUGGGAAGAAUAAAUGACGGUACCAUAUGUAAGCCCCGGCUAACUCCGUGCCAGCCGCCGCUGUAACAC